AGUUUGUGGAGGUGGUGGAGCGAUUCAUGGGAACUGACAGUGAGCAUUUGAGGAUUAACGUGAAGAAGCUGAGCGAGGAGGCUCGUAGAGCAGUGUCUAGUGGUGGCUCCUCGUAUGAAAACCUGGAGAGAUUUGCUCAAGCAGUGAAAAUUUCCUAAACUUCAAUCCACGGCUAAGAGAAAACUUCAAAGCAUCUACUCUACUCAAGAAUAUACUACUCUUUCUCUCUCUCUCUGAAGAUAAGCACGCGCUUUGCGCGUAUAAUGGGUUCCAAGAUCAAUGUUGUGGCGAUUCCUUUCCCCUCUCCACUCUUGCAUCUCUGCCAAGCUCUCACUUUCAUCCUUUGGGGGAUGCUAUCUCGAAAACACGCAACCACGAGGGAAUGUGUUAGACUUUGUCAUGUGCAAGAACCCAUGGCUAAUGUGUUAAUGUAGACUCCAAGGUGAUGCCUUAUGUCAGAAACUGCUGCGAGGAAAAGAAACUAAAGAAAAACAAAGAAAAAAUAAUAAGUGUAAAGUUCUGGAGUUAAAAAGGAAUCACAUGAGGAAACUUGAUAAAAGAAUUAAACACUAAAAAAUGAAAAAACAAAGUGAAAAAAGCUGAAGAGUAAGGAACAGCUUAUAGAAAUACUAACAAGAUUGGAAGAGCUCUAGAGGCCAGUUAUAAUGGCCAUUUGUCUCAAGUUGGUCCCUGGCAUAGAGCCCGAGUUCCUGGAGGCUUUCAAGGCUCUCCUUGAAAGUGAUCAGCUUUGGAUUGGUUGUGAGCUGGGCUCCUCAACUGGAAAUCCUCCAGCAUCUUUCCACAAGCUGCGAGAGUGUAUCUUCAGCAGUGCCAAUCCUUUGCUGGCCAUGAGUUGCCAAGCAGAAUCUCAACUGCAAGCUUAUAGUGGAAGACUGGAAGAUCGAUCUUAAGUUCUCGCCCAUGAGAUAUCCUCGCAAGGUGGUGGCAGGGACGAGUUUGUGGAGGUGGUGGAGCAACUCAUGGGAGCUGCGAGUGGCAAUUCCUUUAGAUGUAAUGUGAAGGAGCUCAGCGAGGCUGCUCAGGGAGCAACAGUGAAAGAAGGCAGGAUCUUCAUAUGAAAGUUUGGACAAGUUCGUCAAGUUUCAUAAGGUAAUUUAUAUCCAAUGCCGCAGCUGGUGGCAGGACGAUCAUCGGGCAUGAGGGCGGGGCCAAUGCACAGACAGACCAACCACCAAGAGCACAUAAAGAUGAUACUUGAAAGUGUAUAGGUUGGUGGAAGUGUUAUUUUCCUUCCCAAAGAAAUAGAUGGCGUAAUCAAGAGGAGUAAAACAUUCCUGAAGGAGAACACUAGAUUAAAACCUUUGCAAAACGCACUGAUUCUUAAGCUCAGCCUUGGAGCGAUUUCAAGCUUAUCCAGAAAAGGUAUUGUGAGAAACGGCAGCACCUUCCAGAGCACUCACGAAGUAAGCUUGAAUUUUCUUUGUUCUUCGUCAAUGGGUUCUUCUACUGGUGCCGAGGGGCUCGCUCCUCACGCAGCGGUUCUUCCCAUUCCAACGCUACGCCACAUCACUCCAUUCCUCCAUCUCUCCAGAGCUCUGGCCUCGCGAGGCUUCGUCAUAACUUUCAUCAACACGGAGGGCAACCACAGGGACUUGAAGGACAUCGUUUCACAGGAGGAGAGCUUUGGCUAUGGCGGCGGCAUUCGCUUCGAGACGGUCCCGGGCAUCCAAGCGAGCGACGUCGACUUCGCGGUCCCGGAGAAGCGGGGGAUGUUGUCCGAGGCAGUGAUGGAGAUGCAGGCUCCAGUGGAAAGCUUGCUCAUCAGGAACAUGGCCAGAGACGAUGAUCUCGUUCCUCCGGUCUCGUGCUUCAUCUCGGAUAUGUUCCCGUGGUCCGCGGAAGUAGCAAGAAGGACUGGAAUCCCAGAGGUCAAGUUCUGGAUCGCCAGUGCCUCUUGCGUUUUGCUCGAUUGCUCGUUUCCGCGAAUGCUGGAGAAGGGAGACGUUCCAGUCCAAGGUAAAGCUUCUUUCUUCUUUUUUAUUUGUCCUUCUUUCGAGAAGCACUAACGUGUUCCGCCAGAUCGUUCCAUUGAAAAGUACAUCACUUACGUAGACGGCUUGUCACCACUGCCAAUCUGGGGCCUCCCGCGCGACCUUUCUGCCAUUGACGAAUCAAGAUUCGCUGGCAGAUACGCUAGAGCCAAGAGCUUCGCCACAACGUCGUGGGUUUUGGUCAACUCGUUCGAAGAACUCGAGGGCAGUGCCACCUUCCAAGCCCUCCGAGACAUCUCUCCCAAAGCAAUCGCUGUGGGUCCUCUUUUCACCAUGGCCCCCGGCUGCAACAAGGCAAGCUUGUGGAAGGAAGACACCGAGAGUUUAUCCUGGCUCGGCAAGCAAAGUCCCGGCUCGGUUCUCUACAUUUCCUUGGGCACCAUCGCGACUCUCAGCUUCGAUCAGUUCAAGGAGUUCUCCGAGGGACUGAGGCUUCUCCAGCGUCCGUUUAUCUGGGCCAUCCGACCCAAGUCGGUCGCCGGCAUGGAGCCCGAGUUCCUGGAGCGUUUCAAGGAGGCCGUGAGGAGCUUUGGACUGGUUGUGAGCCGGGCUCCUCAGGUGGACAUCCUCCGCCACCCUUCCACGGCUGGAUUUCUCAGUCACUGCGGCUGGAACUCCAUCCUCGAGAGCGUAGCAUCCGCGGUGCCCAUGCUUUGCUGGCCGUGCGUCGCGGAGCAGAAUCUAAACUGCAAGUUGAUAGUGGAGGACUGGAAGAUCGGUCUCAAGUUCUCGUGCGUGACCAUGCCGGAUCCUCCCGAGGUGAUGGCGAGGGACGAGUUUGUGGAGGUGGUGGAGCGAUUCAUGGGAACUGACAGUGAGCAUUUGAGGAUUAACGUGAAGAAGCUGAGCGAGGAGGCUCGUAGAGCAGUGUCUAGUGGUGGCUCCUCAUAUGAAAACCUGGAGAGAUUUGCUCAAGCAGUGAAAAUUUCCUAAACUUCAAUCCAAAGCUAAGAGAAAACUUCAAAGCAUCUACUCUAUUCAAGAAUAUACUACAGUUCUUUCUCUCUCUCUCUGAAGAUAAGCACGCGCUUUGCGCGUAUAAUGGGUUCCAAGGUCAAUGUUGUCGCAAUUCCUCUCCCAGCUCAAGGCCACAUCUCUCCACUCUUGCAUCUCUGCCAAGCUCUCACUUUCAUCCUUUGGGGGAUGCUAUCUCCGAA
rnacentral:lncRNA from 1 species